CUGUGAGUAUUCUUGCUGUUCUCAUUCUGUGAUAAUCAGGACAGGCUAAACAUCUGCUGUAAUAAGACCAUGCAUGUGUCCCCAGAUCGAGUUCUUUACCCACCUAGGUCUGGUCUUAGAAAUGCAGGUCAUAAAA
ensembl:snoRNA SNORA72 Small nucleolar RNA SNORA72